CAUCCCUCAUUUCGCUAGCUUUAGACGCCUGUGUCCGUAUGCCGUACGGGCGAACCUUUAUUUCGCUCCGUAAGCGCGUUUAGCGGGUCUCUGAAGCAGUUUCGUCAACUAAUGUGGAGGUGUUUACGAUCGUGGAAAUGGCGCGCAGCGAGUUGACGGAUGCCGAGAUCUCAGAUAUUCUUUAUGGAGAUGCAGGAUCUGAAAUUGACGAUUCUGACAAAGAGGAUUCGUACUCUCCAGACGAAAGCACAAGUGAUGAUUCAGGUAUUUUGUAUUGUGAGUAGUGUUCAUUACUUCACUUGAAUUUAGUACCUCUUAGUACCAAUCUUAGCAUUAUUUUUAUUUUCUAUGCAGAGAGUGGUACAGACCAUCAGUCAACAUCUGUGGUACCUGGUCGUGUGUGCCUAGUGAUGGGCUAAACUGCGAUUUUCCGAUAUCAGUGAUUUCUGUGAAUGCUACUUUUCAGUAUCUGUUAUUCUUAACUGUGAUUUGUCGCAGUUAAGGAACCUAGGUCGUGUAUCCCUCCGCCACAGCUAUUUCUACGAUUUCUGCUACUUCCGCGAUUUCUGCUACUUCUGUGAUUUCUGCGACUUCUGCGAUUUCUGUGACUCCUGCGAUUUCUGCGACUUACUGCCGUAUGAAAAAGUUGCAUCUGUCCACACAGAAAAUUGCAUCUCAACAAACCUGUCAUUGGUACGCGAACUACAUUUCAGUCACUCAGUAAAGUGAUUACUCAAAAUAUCAUUGUCAACAGAUCUGGAGAAAUUGCCACUGCGUCUUUAGACCGUUUUCGUCAGACGAGAGACGCAGUUCUGACUCUGAUUACUGGUUGCUGAACGUAUCUAUCCACUCAAGGCUGUUGAGAGAGACAGCUCUUAGAGGAUUUGCAGUUUAAAAGUGAAAUAAGUGUGUGAGUGAUUAAACUGUGUUUUAUUGAAGUUGUUGUGCGAUUUUAAAGGAAUAAUAAAUGUU